rnacentral:rRNA from 1 species
UAACACGUAUGGAACCUGCCCGUAGCAGGGGGAUAAGCGGAAGAAAUUCCGUCUAAUACCGCGUAAUAACUCCGAGAGGCAUCUCAUGGAGUUUAAAGGGUAACACCGGCUACGGAUGGCCAUGCGGCGCAUUAGCUAGUUGGCGGGGUAACGGCCCACCAAGGCGACGAUGCGUAGGGGUUCUGAGAGGAAGGUCCCCCACACUGGUACUGAGACACGGACCAGACUCCUACGGGAGGCAGCAGUGAGGAAUAUUGGUCAAUGGGCGCGAGCCUGAACCAGCCAAGUCGCGUGAGGGAAGACGGUCCUAUGGAUUGUAAACCUCUUUUGUCGGGGAGCAAAAGACGCCACGCGUGGCGUUCCGAGAGUACCCGAAGAAAAAGCAUCGGCUAACUCCGUGCCAGCAGCCGCGGUAAUACGGAGGAUGCGAGCGUUAUCCGGAUUUAUUGGGUUUAAAGGGUGCGCAGGCGGAAGAUCAAGUCAGCGGUAAAAUUGAGAGGCUCAACCUCUUCGAGCCGUUGAAACUGGUUUUCUUGAGUGAGCGAGAAGUAUGCGGAAUGCGUGGUGUAGCGGUGAAAUGCAUAGAUAUCACGCAGAACUCCGAUUGCGAAGGCAGCAUACCGGCGCUCAACUGACGCUCAUGCACGAAAGUGUGGGUAUCGAACAGGAUUAGAUACCCUGGUAGUCCACACAGUAAACGAUGAAUACUAAUUGU